AACAGAGAUAACUAGUUUACAAGCCCUCCCUGGAAACUCCUCACAGUUCUUAGCAGAAAAGUGAUUCUCAGCCAAGCUCUGCACUGAAGCUCAGCCUGUGAUGAAAGCAUUUCCAAUUGUUCCACAUUGCAAACAAUCAGAGAGGAGAAAUGGCCUGCAGUGCCUUUCCAGCCAAGAAGCGAGACCAGGGAUCACCUAAGAGGCUAAAAGCCGAUUAAAACAAGGGAAGCAAGAGACAGAAGAUGGCUUUUGUGCCUAAUCUUUGCAUUUGAAGCAAUUGUGGGAUGUCCGAUGUUGCAUGGGCCAUCAGCCUCAUUGGUCAGGAGGUCUGAGCCACCAGAGAUAUAAAUUUGGACAAGAUGGCUCUGGGCAUGAGUCAUGGCUGUACGCUGGGAAGAUUCCGAUGGGAACCUUGCUCUUGCUGGUUGAGCCAUACCUUACAUGGACUUGAGGCCAAAGAGUCACUUCACAUGCAGCCUUCAGAUGUCAUCUUCCCAGUGAAAAAUCCCUGCGCCAGAGCAGAUGUUCCUUGGAAGCAACACCGGAGUCUUUCAGGAGCCAAGGUGAAUGAACUGUAAGAUUGAUUCUUGAAGUUUUCCACAUUAAAACCAUUUCUGUCAUUGUCCUUGGCACUGGUUCUAAAAAAGUGUUCUAUAGCCUUGCUUCUCAGGCUUGACUUGUAUACAGAUCUCCUGGAGACUUUGUUAAACCUCAGACUCUGUUUCAGUAGUUCUGGGGUGGGGCGCUCGAGUUUGUGCAUUUCUGACAAGCUCCCAGAGGAGGUUGAUGCAGAUCCAUGUUGAUUUCUGAAUCCUACUCCGAGUAGCAGGGGGAUACAGAAAGUGGGUGUUGCAAGAUGCUGUCCAGCACAAAGGGUCUCUGGCCUGAUAAGUUCAAGAAAAAAAUAGGUUGCAUUUUUACCUUCCUCUUCAAAACCCUGCAAAUGAAUAAAUUAAAGACUCUGAGAAGAUCUUCCUGAGGAAGUCUGAUACAAAACUAACAGACCAUAGAACCAUAUUUUGGUAUGCCAUGCUAUCUCUUAAGAAACUAGGGAACUUGAUUUUUGUGAAAGGAAAUAAACGUCUGUUGUGUGGUCACCAUUCAAAUAUUUGUCCAGGCACUUAAGCAGAUUGAAGGGGGGUUUAGAAAAUGUUUGACCUUCUUUGUAGUGAUCCCGGUAACCCUUCUCAGGUGAGUGUCACUGGUUCUCCAAAUGAGCAAGGCUAUAAGUCAGGCUCACGAUAUCCAUGGUAGAACGGUAAAUUUUCCACCUUGAGUUCUGGUAUUUGAAGCGUAUGGUACUCCCUUCAACCAGCUCAAAAAGUUGUUAGAGGUUUAGCUGCCACCGUGCUCUUGUCAAAAGAUGAGCUGAGAAAGUGAUACACAAGAAAGCUAGAUGAGGGGAAUUUAAAUCCCUUCAAGCAUCUUAAACUGUUUGCAAACUUCCACGUGUUUAUGUAUCAAUCCUCUAAUAAGUUCCCAGGAAGAUUCCUGAGCCUUUGCUCCAGAAAUGAUCAUCUUUUGGGUCUUAGGUAUAUUCUAAAAAUCUUCAUUUUAGUAAGCAUUCCCAGAAUUUUCUGAUGCAGGUUCUUUGAGGACCACAUUUGUAGAUUAAGUCCUGUUUCCUUAGAGGCAGAGCACAAGGAACUGUCCCAAAACAAGCUUCCUUGUUUUUGCUCUCUGAACAUGCACCUUUGUGAGUCAUGUUUUCAUGCUCUGCCCUGGAUUUUUGUGGAGGAUAUAUAUAACUGCAUGGGAAAACAUUAGCAUUUUCUCUAAAACUGUUAUUAAAGAUAUUGUCAUUAUAUCAGAAAAUCAGAAAAUUCUGCAAAAAGACUCUACUGACAGAGAAUUACAGCGUUGCUCCUGCAGUUUGGGGUGUAAGCUCAGCAGAAGAACACACUUCUGGAUGUGUUUUAUUGUAAAAGCAAAGGAAAAGUUUGCUCCUAUGACAUGACAUGUAUUUGCAUUAACAUAAACAUAUAAACAUGUUAAUUUUACCCCAAAUUGUUAAGUUGGUGUUCUAAGUCAUCUGUGCCUUUAUGUUUACCCUUGACAUGUCACCAUACUCCUGGGACAUUCCACAGCUUGAGAACUGUAGCAGUAUAUCUUGAUUAGGGUCCCAGAAACAAAGAAUAAAUGAAUAAAUGGGUGAAGAUUGUCAAAAGGUGCAAUUGCCAGUUAUGAGAUCAAUCAGUCCUGGGAAUGUAGUAUACUGCAUGGUGACUAUAGUUAACAAUGCUGUAUUGUAUAUUCCAAGGUUGCUAAGAAAGUAGCUCUUAGAAGUCUCAUCAAGAAAGAAAUGUGUAACUGUGUAGUGACAGAUUUAACUAAACUAAUUGUGGCAAUCAUCCUGUAAUAUACACAUAUAUCAAAUCAUUGUGUUGUACAACUAAAACUAAUACAAUGUUAUAUGUCAAUUAUGUCUCAAUAAAAAAGGAAUAGUGCAUCUCCUUUAUAAUUUGUUCCCAGAAGUAAAGGUUGUCUUACAUUCAUAUUCUAUGAUGAGAAUUCAUUAUUUCCUUUUCAAAAUUUAAGCUUGGUCGGUAGGAUGUUCAGGGUAGAAUUACUUAACAACGGUGAUUUUUAUUAGUUUUGUUGCUGAGUAUAUUUGUUGAAAAUUUCCAACUUUUCUGUAUACAUUUAAUUUCAGUAGUUAUGAAUUCUGCUAAUUCUCUUAUUUUGCGAGUGAUUUUAAAUCUAAGGCACUUUAGAUUUUUAAGCUGGUAAAGAAUAAAUUAUUAAGGAAUUUUUACUGUUGACUUAAAUUCUCUCAACCAUCGAAGUCUUCUUACCAUUGAUUUUUCAAUCAGAAAUACUCUUCAAGGGAGGGAGUGGAGGAGGUGCAAUUACACAGGAGUGACACCAGGGAAUGUUUUUGGAAUGAUGGAGUUGUUAUAUAUCCUGAUUGUGGUGGUGGUCACACAAAUCUACAUGUAUGUUAAAACUCAGAAUUUUACCCACUCCCAAAAGUCAAUUUUAUUGUGUUAAUUAAAAAAUAAAAUCAAGAGUAAGGAUAACCACAAAAAAAGAAAUACUCUUCAAUUU